AGAGGAGGUCGACAUAGGUUGACCUUUUUGCUAAUGAGUUACUCCCGUAUUGCAUUCCUGCAGCAUGACAGGAUGUCACGCCCACAUUUACCUAGAGGAGGUGUGGCCUUUCGUCAUAAUUUAUCAUCAAGUUUCACGGAGGAAUUGUGAGUGUACGGAGAAAGAAGAGAAUAUACGGAGCACAACACCAAAACUUGCUCUCCUGCUAGCUAAAAGACUACAAACGAUCAUAGUACUCCACAGUAGUUAUAAAUAAUGCCUAGCUAUAUCCUGUGACAUAAGAAAAUGAAUAGCAUAGUCAUUGUUGAAGAAAUAAGCUAUAAACUUACAGUGUAAGAGUUUGUUGCGCUUUCUAUGGCUCCUGUGUUAAUGUAACACUUAUAGUAGAUACUAAGAUUGAUAAACUAGUAGAAAAUGCCUCUUGGAGAGACUCCAGAAGAGAUAAACACAAAGAACAGUAAAAUAGCGCUGACGGUGCAUAAAAUACCUGCUGAGUCAACACAAAUAUCAUGUGGGCGUGACAUCCUGUCAUGCUGCAGGAAUGCAAUACGGGAGUAACGCAUUAGCUAAAGGUCAACCUAUGUCGUCCUCUGUCAAUGAGGUAGUAGUCUGGGGGCCAGACCUAAUAGCUCGGGGGCAAAAUCAAGAGAGCUAGGAUUAGGUCUGGAGACUCUUGCAGCAUUUCUGUGUGCUCUAGCGGAAUGUGGCCAGAGCCAAUGAAAUGCAUAUCCUAUGUCAUGUGAUUUUUUAACCCAAUGAAAUGCGAGAUUGCCUUUGUGGAAUUUGGAUUACAGCCAAUGGAAUGAGAGUAUUGCUACAUCUACUCCUUCUUUAUAACCUCCAAUAUCACAGUCUCCUCCCUAUUGACAUUCCAAGAGCACACGGAAGUGCAAGAGUCUCCAGACCUUCUUUCUCUCUUCCCCCCCCCCCUCUGAGAAAAAGGUCUGGCCCCCAGACUAAUGAGGUAGCUAAAGCAGAAAGCGCGAGUUGGACGGGAAACUACAGUCUCAAUUUGGAGUGGCCUAAUGAAAAAGUAUACCGUAUAGCGGGGCGAGGAACUGGAACAGUAAUUGUUGGAUUGUGACGACCACACCCGAGGCUGGGUCGACCUCGCCCACAUGCAGGAGAAAGGCGUUAUCGACAAGACUUGACAAAAUUAACACCGGCACAACAUUAUUUUUAUACUGCAUGGGGAAUUUUUGACUCUAAUACUCUUUCGUAUAAUAAUUAUAGUCACAAUUAUAAUUAUGAAAACCUAUCUUUGUUGCACACUUUUAUUUUACUGAUCUAUAGCUAUAUGCUACAAUAUAAGAAGAAAAGAGUUAAUUAUACAGCUCUAAUUAAUUUUAUCACCAUUGUCAUUGUCUGCUUUACUUAAUUACUGGUGAACCUAUGUUUCGAUACUGCAGUACAAUUAGUACCAAUAGGAAUGGUACGUUGAGUACCACAGUUAUUAUCGUUGUUAGAAAUAAUCGUUUCUUCAUUACUUCGUAGG